CCAUGUCCGUGUGAAGGAUGACUCUUGGGCAAGCACAAAUAUACUUGGUGUUUCAGGGGUCGGUGACAUUCAAGUACGUGGCCGUGGACUUGUCCUGGGAGGAGUGGGGGCAGUUGGGCCCUGCCCAGAAGGAGCUGUACCGGGAGGUGAUGCUGGAGAUCUACAAGCACCUGGAAUUUGGGCCUGGUUGUUUCCAAGCCAGAUGUAAUCUUGCAGCUGGAGCAAGGGGAAGCACUGUGGAUGCCAGGGGGCGAGGUGCCGAGGAGAAACUGCCCAGUCGUGCUAUGCCUCCGUUGGUUGAGAUCCUCAUCAGCCUAAUAGUUGGUCUCUUUCACUGCUCCAGUGUAGCCUACCUACUGCUGCCAAAGGAAAUUUUAAGUCCAAAUCUGACCAUUUGACUCCCCUACUUGACCAGUUGCCUCCAGGGUAAGACAUUUACUUCUUUCUUUAGUUUU
rnacentral:lncRNA from 1 species